UACGUAGGGUGCGAGCGUUGUCCGGAAUUAUUGGGCGUAAAGGGCUCGUAGGCGGUUUGUCGCGUCGGGAGUGAAAACUCAGGGCUUAACCCUGAGCCUGCUUCCGAUACGGGCAGACUAGAGGUAUGCAGGGGAGAACGGAAUUCCUGGUGUAGCGGUGAAAUGCGCAGAUAUCAGGUGGAACACCGAUGGCGAAGGCAGUGAUCUGGGCCAGUACUGACGCUGAGGAGCGAAAGCGUGGGGAGCAAACAGG
rnacentral:rRNA from 1 species